UACGUAGGGUGCGAGCGUUGUCCGGAAUUACUGGGCGUAAAGAGCUCGUAGGUGGUUUGUCGCGUCGUCUGUGAAAUUCCGGGGCUUAACCUCGGGCGUGCAGGCGAUACGGGCAAUACUUGAGUGCUGUAGGGGAGACUGGAAUUCCUGGUGUAGCGGUGGAAUGCGCAGAUAUCAGGAGGAACACCGGUGGCGAAGGCGGGACUCUGGGCUGUGACUGACACUGAGGAGCGAAAGCAUGGGGAGCGAACAGGAUUAGAUACCCCCGGUA
rnacentral:rRNA from 1 species